ensembl:ncRNA ZK377.5 ncRNA
UGUGAAUAUUGUACGGAAACUCGCGGGGCAUUGUCUCAAGCUGUCCUCUAAUGGUAACGAGCUUGACACGGAAGAUGGGGAUGGAGGAGAAGCGAUAAAUCAUCUCUGGUAAGAGGUUUGAUUUUGAUUAAUUUAUGAGGUGAUG